rfam:Clostridium sp. BL8 Contig59, whole genome shotgun sequence.
AUAAAUCUUCAGGGCGGGGUGUAAGUCCCCACCGGCGGUAUAGCCCGCGAGCCGUAAGGCAGAUUCGGUGUAACUCCGAAGCCGACAGUAAAGUCUGGAUGAAAGAAGAAACUA